rnacentral:rRNA from 1 species
UUCACGGAGAGUUUGAUCCUGGCUCAGGACGAACGCUGGCGGCGUGCUUAACACAUGCAAGUCGAACGAUGAAGCCCUUCGGGGUGGAUUAGUGGCGAACGGGUGAGUAACACGUGGGCAAUCUGCCCUUCACUCUGGGACAAGCCCUGGAAACGGGGUCUAAUACCGGAUAACACUCUGUCCUGCAUGGGUGGGGGUUGAAAGCUCCGGCGGUGAAGGAUGAGCCCGCGGCCUAUCAGCUUGUUGGUGGGGUAAUGGCCUACCAAGGCGACGACGGGUAGCCGGCCUGAGAGGGCGACCGGCCACACUGGGACUGAGACACGGCCCAGACUCCUACGGGAGGCAGCAGGGGGGAAUAUUGCUCCAGGGGCGAAUGCGGGAUGCAGCGACGCCGCGUG